rnacentral:tRNA from 1 species
GGCACAGUGGUGCAGUGAGUAGCACUGUUGCCUCACAGCAAGAAGGUCCUUGGUUCAAAUCCCGGCCGGGUCC